AUUGAACGCCGGCGGCAGGCUUAACACAUGCAAGUCGAGCGGGGUGAUGGUGCUUGCACUAUCACUUAGCGGCGGACGGGUGAGUAAUGCUUAGGAAUCUGCCUAUUAGUGGGGGACAACAUCUCGAAAGGGAUGCUAAUACCGCAUACGUCCUACGGGAGAAAGCAGGGGAUCACUUGUGACCUUGCGCUAAUAGAUGAGCCUAAGUCGGAUUAGCUAGUUGGUGGGGUAAAGGCCUACCAAGGCGACGAUCUGUAGCGGGUCUGAGAGGGUGACACGCCACACUGGGACUGAGACGCGGCCCAGACUCCUACGGGAGGCAGCAGUGGGGAAUAUUGGACAAUGGGGGGAACCCUGAUCCAGCCGUGCCGCGUGUGUGAAGAAGGCCUUAUGGUUGUAAAGCACUUUAAGCGAGGAGGAGGCUCUUUUGGUUAAUACCCAAGAUGAGUGGACGUUACUCGCAGAAUAAGCACCGGCUAACUCUGUGCCAGCAGCCGCCGUAA
rnacentral:rRNA from 1 species